GUUCCUACGGGAGGCAGCAGUGAGGAAUAUUGGUCAAUGGGAGAGAUCCUGAACCAGCCAAGCCGCGUGAGGGAAGACGGCCCUAUGGGUUGUAAACCUCUUUUGUCGGAGAACAAAACCCGGGACGUGUCCCGGACUGCGUGUAUCCGAAGAAAAAGCAUCGGCUAACUCCGUGCCAGCAGCCGCGGUAAUACGGAGGAUGCGAGCGUUAUCCGGAUUUAUUGGGCGUAAAGCGAGCGCAGGCGGUUGCUUAGGUCUGAUGUGAAAGCCUUCGGCUUAACCGAAGAAGUGCA
rnacentral:rRNA from 1 species